UACAGAGGGUGCAAGCGUUAAUCGGAGUUACUGGGCGUAAAGGGUGCGUAGGUGGUUGAUUAAGUUGGAUGUGAAAUCCCUGGGCUUAACCUAGGAACUGCAUCCAAUACUGAUUGACUAGAGUAUUGUAGAGGGUAGUGGAAUUUCCGGUGUAGCGGUGAAAUGCGUAGAGAUCGGAAGGAACACCAGUGGCGAAGGCGGCUACCUGGACAAAUACUGACACUGAGGCACGAGAGCGUGGGGAGCAAAC
rnacentral:rRNA from 1 species